ensembl:lncRNA
GUUAGUAGGUCCUGUCUGCCGUUUUUCCCCUGAUUCCUGUGUGUUUUUGGCCUUUUGACUAUUAAAGUCUUUUUCCUGCCUCCUCCACGCAUCCCUUGACAGUUCACUGUCCAUAGGCCCUCCGGAAACUCAUUUUCCCUUCAGCGAUGAUUGAUUCCCCCCACGAUCCAAGUUGAUGGCAAGUCUCCUGGGAUCCACUGGGGUGUUAGACGUAUUAACACAGAGACCUACAGCGACGGAGCAGUGCCCUACCCAAACCCAAUUACCACGGAAGUAGGUAUGACCUGUGUCACUCUAUCCCAGCAUCAAGUGCGGUGUAAAUGAAUCCCUCCAUUUUGGGGGGGGGGGGGGGAAGGGGGUCGGAGUCCUUGGAACUUUGCCAAAGCCGUCUUUGUCCGUAUUACAGCCCAAAAAGCUUCACAUGGUGUAUCCGUACCGCCUGUGUUUCCCCAGCUUUCAUCCCUCAAUAUGUUUCUUUCAUUUUGCUCCUCUGAUGUUUGUCUAUUCUUACCAUCAAAGCCUAGUCCAAUUAACUCACUACAAUAUUUGACUAUAAAUGUGGUCAAAAUAAAAGAUUUUAUUCUUGUGCAGAGAUAUUUGGUACCCUAGGAUCUGAUCUCGUCUCUAGGCCGGGCUUUGAAGGGUAAAGAUUGAUGAGGCUGAUGACAGUAUUUGGAAUGAUGGCAAAUAAAUCGUUAAAAUACUACUCAAGCUUGUAGUCCUUCAUCACAAAUUACAUCCCUUAAAAUGAGAUUAACAAGAUUAACCAGCCAUCACACCUUUCACUGCAGCAAUUUUUAGCUCUGCUCCACACCCGGAAACAAACUGGGGAAAUGACAGUUAAAACCAAAAGCUGGCGUUACAGAAGCCACGUGACAAUUGUACUUUUCUUCACUUUACUUUUCUAUAUUUACAGAGGUCGUAUUUUGAGUUAACACUUUUACUUUUAGAAGGAACAAAUACCAAAAGGCUAAAAUAGACUAUUUCUGCUAAAAAAGAAAUAAGGAAUCUUCAGGGCAGCACAGGUAAAUUACACAUAAUUGCAAAUUAGUUUGUGCUCAUACAGUAAUUCCUCUCAAAGUGUUGUGUUUGGCUUGUUUGAGAGCCAUAAAUGUGGGUUUAUGCUUAAAAGGUUUGGGGCACAACACUUAUUUCAGCGUUUUCACAUUUUCUUUCAUCUCGUUAUCUUCCCUACCGCUCAUAUUCACGACUCCUGUAAUGUGUAAUAAGAGCCGUGACUUCUGGGUGAUCAGCAGGAAUAGCGACGGCUGGGGCCUUCAAACCGGCAAUUUGGUGCUGAAGUACGCACUAACGAUAAGCGCUGUUCAACGCGCUGGAUGACUGCCUCCGCCUCAGCAAUCCGUGCUGACACGUUUAGCCGGCGCAUCUAUUUCCCCCCCGUGCUGAGGGCGUAAAGACUUAAAGGUUUGGAGGACUGGAUUUACUCAGAGGCAAAAUGGGACGCGAUGAGCCAAUGAAAACCGCUUGUGCUGAGGAGGCAGCGGCCGUCGGGUGGAAGCCCCCUUUGAGACUGACUGUGCAUUAGUGCCUCCUUAGUGGUAAAUGUGUCCCUCUGUCUGCCACGGCCAGAUUGCUCUGCGAGCAGUCAGUCUUCCUCGUGAAGAAGAAGCCUCGUGCUUGCGGCUCACUUGUUAAGCCCUCAACAUAUGUGUUACCUUGGGGAGACGUACACCUCUUCAGUGCGUCACGUAUAAAUAAAACGUAAUGCAUGUCUGCAGGGGCAACAGGUUCAGUCCCUAUGGGUUGGAAGGGGUAAGAGGAGCUAUUUGAGUGGC